CUACGGGGGGCACCAGUGAGGAAUAUUGCACAAUGGGGGGAACCCUGAUGCAGCAACGCCGCGUGGAGGAUGACGCCUUUCGGUGUGUAAACUCCUUUUAUAUGUCAAGAAAAUGACGGUAGCAUAUGAAUAAGCACCGGCAACUCCGGCCAGCAGCCGCGGUAAUACGGAGGGUGCAAGCGUUACUCGGAAUCACUGGGCGUAAAGGACGCGUAGGCGGGCUUGUAAGUCAGGUGUGAAAUCCUACAGCUUAACUGUAGAACUGCACUUGAAACUACGAGCCUAGAGUAUGGGAGGGGGAGAUGGAAUUAGUGGUGUAGGGGUAAAAUCCGUAGAUAUCACUAGGAAUACCUAAAGCGAAGGCGAUCUCCUGGAACAUAACUGACGCUAAGGCGUGAAAGCGUGGGGAGCAAACAGGAUUAGAUACCCCAGUAGUC
rnacentral:rRNA from 1 species